rnacentral:rRNA from 1 species
AGCAGUCGCCACGGUAAUACGAAGGGUGCAAGCGUUACUCGGAAUUACUGGGCGUAAAGCGUGCGUAGGUGGUGGUUUAAGUCCGUUGUGAAAGCCCCGGGCUCAACCUGGGAAUUGCAGUGGAUACUGGGUCACUAGAGUGUGGUAGAGGAUAGUGGAAUUUCCGGUGUAGCAGUGAAAUGCGUAGAGAUCGGAAGGAACAUCUGUGGCGAAGGCGACUAUCUGGGCCAACACUGACACUGAGGCACGAAAGCGUGGGGAGCAAACAGGAUUAGAUACCCGCGUAGUCCCUGUCUCUUAUAC